CUUGAAACCAAUUGACUGAUUGAUACAAAUUAUAAAUACUGGCUCAGAAACCUCAGGAUAGUCCUGACAUCCAAAAAGAUUGGGUAUGUACUUGAUCAGGAUAUCUCAGCCUUACCAACCUAUCCUACGGUAGAGCAAAGAGCUACUCUGGACAAGUGGAUAGAUGAUGACCUUAGGGUGAAGUGCUAUGUACUGGCUCAAUGUCAAAUGAGUUACAGAGUCAGCAUGAGCAUAUGCCCACUGGCCGUGCCAUGAUCACUCACCUACAAGAGUUGUAUAGUAAGCAG
rnacentral:lncRNA from 1 species